AAAAAAUAUGCAAACAAUAUUGAAAAAUUACCUUUAUCCCUUCCUCUUCUCCCUCCGCAACAAAAUCAUAUGACCGCCACCGAUGAGUAUUAUUACCCGACGAAAACGGUUUAAGUAUUUGUUUUUUGAAAAACUCGCGGGACUAGGAUCGCCGGCUUUACAAUACAAUCAUUUCAAUUUAAAAGCAUGCCAUUAGCACUUCGUAUUCUGACAAAGUGACAACGACAUUUGAUUUUCGUAUAGACGCGCGUUAAAUUUGCGAAUAUGACGCGUGGAUUUUAACAACAGCUUGGGUGAAAAUUUGUGCAAAAAAAACAUAUAAUAUCUAAACACACGUCAUCUAUUAGUGUUCCGGAACGAGAGUUCACGAGUUCUGUCGAAAAUCCAGUACGAGAUUAUUGCACCGGACGCCAACCGUGCAAAUGUCAAAUAUUUUAACGUAAUGUUAUAAUUUGUUAGGGGACAGUAUUUGUAUCGAACGAUAAACAAAACGUGAUAAUA